AGAAAACACAAAAACGAAAAAUAUGUUGCUAGUAUUCCUGCUGUUUUACUGAUUGAGGACAAAUGCUCAAAUUGUUACAGUGGUGAGACAAGCCCCCAUCGAACUAGGUACUGCACAAAUGGAGACUACAGAGUAAAAGGCCAGGUCAUCCACCGAUCAUUUUAUCUCUGGUGUAAGGUAGAGACAUGUAUUAAUAUCCUACUGUAGGAUAAAACAGGAAUAAGACAAGACCAAAGUUGAGAAAAAAAAUAUGAAGGCUGGAACAAGCAAAUUAAUAGCUCUGUGGGAGCUGUUUUCUGUAUAUCAGCAACUGUGAAAAGAUAUUCUGGGAAUCUCAAUAUUUUGAGGUAUAUUUGCAGAUAUUUGUGGAAUGCAACUAGAUUUAUUUUGCAGGCACCUGAAAUGUGGCAGUGGGAAACUUCUUCUUAGGAUCUUCAGUUUCUCUUCAUUCUCAGUACCAGCACCCUCAGUAAUUGGGAUCUUUCCUUCAGUCCCCAUCAAGCAAGAAUGUGGACACAAUGCUCCUUCUUUUGUCUAAUUACCUGUGCCAAUCACACGCUUAAGGAAAAUGAGUCACAUUACUGCCCAAAUGUGUGGUCACAAGACCAAAAACUUAUUGGAAAGCAAUGUUCAAUUAAAGCAUGAUCGAAGAUGGAAAGGAGGGAGAAUUGCAGCAGCACAGGUAAUAAAGGGUAACGUUAUGGCA
rnacentral:lncRNA from 1 species